GUGCCGUGCCAUAACGGAGUUCGCGUGUUUGUCUCCCCACUGUAUAUCUACGUGUAAAUCUCGUGCAUCUGACCCACACGUGCUGACAAACUGCCGGGAGGGGGACGGAGAACGGAGGGAAGCCAUUAGUAGUGGACACGAAUAUGUGACAGGGACGUUUGUAACUUGGCCCCUCCGUCCCACCCCCGAAGAGGACUUAAUCAUAUAGCAUGACCCGACGUUACUCCCGGGACCUCGGCAGUUCGGUACUUUCCAGGAGCACAUCCGUCCAGCGGAUAUUGUCACCACAGUGUUCACUAACACGACGCCAUCUAGAUCGGGAUCACCUAUAGAAUGCGUCGUCGAAGUUACUCUGUCAGUUCUUCACGUCCCAGCAUUCAUGGUGCCUCUACUUCCGCCAAAGCACGUCCAGGUAGCCUUAGUCUUUCUUCUUCCGGUCCUACUAACCGAUCAGUUUCAGCUGGUGGACGUGUGUCAGGUUUCGGAGCUGGACCAUCUAGAACAGGGUCUCUCCAGUCAGGACUAACCCCUAAAACUCCCAGUGGAGGGUACCAGUCCAGUACCGGGUAUAGUAGCGCUGCAUCUUACGGCAGUAAAAGUAUAGCGGGUAGUGGUCCUAGUUAUGGUGGAGUCCGGGCCGGAACUGACGUAGCUACUCUUCUAGCUGUUCCACGUGCCCGUAAUAGCACUAGUGUUCACGUACCCAGUUCCGGCAGUGCCCGUGUUAGCUCAAGUGUUGGACCUAGAAGUCCUGUUGGGCGACCACCCCUGGUUGAUAACACUAGAAAGCCUCCGGUCAGUCCGUCAUCAUACGAUCGAGGGUACGGUAGCAUCUCCAGCAGCCGCAGUCAUGGCUCGCUUUACGACAACAUGGGGUCCGGGAAGGGCUAUGGCGGUUCUACCAGUAGGUAUGGGAGUGGUGUAGGAACCAGUAGUUAUCUCAGUCCGUCGUACGGCUCGCAAAACAAAAGCGGGUCGUCUUACGGAUCACCAACAAAAACCUACUCAUCAGGCUACCAACAACCCUCAUCAUCCGGGUCUCGAUACGGUUACGGCGGCGGCUCCGUCCGAGACCGGAUACAGAAAAUUUCGUCAGCGGAGGCAACGCGCAACACGGGUAAAGAUACCGGAACUAGUAUGUAUACGCCGUUAAGCAGUAGAGGGACCACACAAACAAGGGGAGAUCACUAUGGAGGCGGUGGUGGAUAUGACAAAUAUUCGUCACGGAGUGCGGGAUCAGACCCUUAUGGAAGCAAAUCUGGAUAUUUGUCAGAUUAUGGUGGGAGUACAAGGUCUUAUAGUUCAUGGGAUCGAGGGUCGUCAAGGUCAGGUCGCAGUUACGGAACCGCAAGUCGCGAGACUUCGCCUGUGAGUCAGCGAUCGUCACGCUACGAAUACGGAACAAAAGCUGCCACCCCGUCUCCGUACACCACUUACAAAAGUAGUUCAGAGGUCUCGCCACCAGUUAACAGGAAGUACGACCGCCAGGUGUCGCGAUCAUCGGACGUCGAGUAUUCUGCUAGGGAUAGAGGUGACAGAUAUGAGAGGAGGCGGUCGUCACGUGACUACAUUCGGCCGCCUCCACGGAAGAAAGUUUCCGUGUCUUCGGACAGUGACGAGGACGACAGUGCGCCCGAGGCGGAAAAAGAAGGCUUCAAGGGUCGGUACCUUAUAUCGAGGGGAACUUCGCCAAUGCCUGAAAAUGAAGCCCCGAAACGGGAUGCACGUUACAGAAAGGACAAAAAGUCAGUUUCGCGGACCAAACGUAUAAGGCCACUGAGCAACAGAGACUCGCGGCGUGAGAGUCGGUAUAGGGACUAUCGAAACCCUACUCUUGUCGAUUGUUCUACUCAAACACAUAUGGACCAACCCACCUCCCGCCGGAGUCGGCACUCGUCUGGCAGCUAUGGCGGCGAGGCGAGCGGUGACCUAAGGGAAAAGGCGGCUAUGGCUGCCUUGGCCAUGAUGGAUAGUGGAGGUGGAGACGGCAAAGAUGACUCAUUCUAUAAAUAUCGCGAUAAGUUUGACAAAAACAAACAGCCAAUGUCACCAGGUUAUAACGCAACGGAUAGUCCGAGGAGCAAACGAUUUUCGUAUCGCGAUACAUCAGCUAAAGAUGAAAGUUUGGGAGAAAUUCCUCCAGAGAAAUCAUGGCGUCAGUCUGUGUACGGAACGUCUACUCCAAUGAAGAAACCUGAGGAGGAGGAAGUUCCAAGGCGACGACGCCGGCAGCAGGCUAAUGUAGAGCCUGACUAUGACAACGCUGAGGAGGAUGCAAGACCAAGUUCACGUCGUGGUGAGAGACGUUCCCAGGGGUCAGACAGAGAUCGACGCUCACAGCGGGAGAUGGCUCAGGAUUACAGUCGAUCCAACUCCCGAGAUAGUCUUCUCGACGACAAACCCGCGAGGAGACGAAGGCACGGCAGUAAGGAGUUGCUGGAUGCACCUCCUGAACCAGAAGUUAUUGUCCACUCUCCGGAAGAGGUUCCGGUACAGCGACGAAGACGGCAUGGAAGUAAAGAACUUCUAGAUGAACCUACUGACCCCUUGACUCAGGAGACCAUUUCGUUAAGAGAUAGCAUUGAGAAAGUACAACAAUGGAAGCAAAACCUACCAAAUCCAGACCCGUACUAUGAAGACCAUCCUCCACAGUCUCAACCGCCGACUCGACAUCUCGAAACUGGCUUCCCAAGGAGUGAUUCGGGCGAGUAUUUUUCUGCUCAUGAUUAUCCAGUGAAUCCGAAUUCCAGGCCAAAUGAGAAUAAGGUCAUGUCUCCAGAAAGAAGCAGGGGUAGAGACUCUCGUGGGUCUGGUAAUUACGGUCGUGAGCAGGAACAUCCUCCUUACCGUGAUCACUCCCCGGGGAGAAGACAGUAUCGACGUGAUGAUUCACACGAUAACGUGUUUUCUGGUGACGAUGACUUAGAUGGACAUUACCGCAACAAAGACUAUCGCAAGUCAGAACUAAAUAGGGGCGAAGGUGAGCACUAUGCGAUCGCUCGAGAUGAGUCUCCCAACAGGAUGCGUCGUUCACACAGACCACCCUCUGGUGACGGUGCGCGUCGUUUGACGCGAGAAGGAUCUAGGGAAGACAAUCUAGAUGAUAGAAAAUCAAGGCGAGAUGAUUAUGAUCGCGGACACACGAGCGACAGCUCUCAGUUUGGAUUUAAUAGAGAAAGUUCGCCAAAUAGACCACAUUCGCAGAAGAAGCAUGGCAGCAGGCCAAACUCUCGGGAGGGCAUGCUUGACGACAGCCGUGUUCGACGAAGCAACUCACGUGAGGGCAUGCUCGACGAGGGAAAAGUGCGACGGAGCAAUUCUCGUGAGGGAAUGUUGGAUGAGGGAAAAGUACGACGAAGCACUUCUCGUGAGGGCAUGUUGGAUGAGGGGAAAGUGCGACGGAGCAAUUCGCGAGAGGGGAUGUUGGAUGAUGGGAAAGCACGACGUAGCAACUCGCGCGAGGGCGUUUUAGAGGAGAAGAUUGUUGAGUAUCCUCCCAGUUACAGUCGGCCAGGACAGCUUGCCAUCUCAAACGAAAGUUUGGCGCACAUGAGCAACUCGGCGUCCGCCGGAUCCAUUAACUCGGUUGUCCCAGAUGACGGCACACUCCACGCGACGAAGUCACCUAAUUCUGUAACAUCAAACGAAGGACUUCACUCACCCGUGUCCCAGUCUCGUCUCCACGCCCCGUCUCCAGGGGCCAACAAAGGACUCCCAGACCUGGUGCCCGGAGGACCCAAGACAGGACCGGAAGAAGAAAAAUUGGUGGACAUUGAGGAGCCCAAGGGUGGACAGUCGAUUUUGUCGACGCGUCCGUCAACCUCCAGGAGGAAAACGGAAUCCGUGACGUCACCAGUGUCACAAUCGGGGUCGACUGGGCAGCAAAUGUUUAACGUCCUCAAACGGAACAAGGGUUCAGUAACUAUCACAGAUAUCCUUGACCUUUGCUAUGGCCGGAGUCAAGGUUCAGGAAAGGUCAUCAGAGUUCCAGGAGUCACGGAGUCGGACUAUAGUUUUAAAGGAUAUGACACCGUUAACGAGCUUCUCGAGAGCAUGAACGUCAACGUGAGAAAGCUUGAGGACUGCGCUCUACAGAUAUAUCGUUAUCACAAUGGCUCCCAGGGAGACUAUGGGACAUACUUGGAUUUGGAAUCCACCGUAGAUGAACAGGCUGACGAACUUGAGGGCUUCCAAGACCAGAGGAAGAAUGCAUUAAUUUUGAGAACACAACUAACAGUUCGGGUACAUGCAGUAAUUGAAAAACUUUUAAAUUCCCAUGGAAGAGAAUUACGAAGAGCUCUCUUCUCCCUCAAGCAGAUCUUCCAGGAUGACAAAGACCUUGUGCACGAGUUUGUUAACAAUGAUGGCCUUGACUGUCUCAUCAAGGUCGGGUCAGAGGCUGACCAGAAUUACCAAAACUACAUUUUACGAGCCCUGGGACAAGUGAUGUUGUAUGUGGAUGGAAUGAAUGGUGUUAUCAAUCACAAUGGCACCAUCCAGUGGCUAUAUAAUCUACUGGCAUCUAAGUUUCGAUUGGUUGUGAAGACAUCACUGAAGCUACUGCUUGUAUUCGUGGAAUAUACUGAAACAAAUACCAUGCUGCUUUUGAAAGCUGUCAAUGAGGUGGAUAAAAAACGAGGUGUUAUGCCUUGGACAAAUAUCAUUGGAAUCCUUGAUGAAAAAGAUGGUGGAGACACUGAACUUCUCAUUUACUCAAUGACACUGAUCAAUAAGGUACUGAAUGCAAUCCCAGACCAGGAUACAUUUUACGAUGUGACCGAUGCUUUGGAGGAACUAGGCAUGGAACAGAUCACACGGAUUUACAUGAACAGAAAUGGUGCUGACCUUGACCUUCUCUCACAGUUUCAGGCAUAUGAGGCAGCUUUGCGUAAUGAAGAUGGGGAAGAAGAUGGAGACAUGUCACAGUUAGAAAGUUUACGACGAACACCUAGAAUUAAGAGUGACCAGGACAGCGUCAGAAAGAGUCGUCGCUUCUCCAUGGGAACAGGUCCAAAGAAAAUGAACAAGUCCAAAAGUGCACCAGCUCUACCUGCUGAGGACAUCAACCCAGCUGAGGAAUACAUGAAGGUCAAACAAAAAUCUAAAGAACAUUGCCUGUUAAUGCCAGAAGAACAACAUGACAAACUUCCAGAGCAGCGCCGAAGACGACAAAGGCUUGACGAGUUACAACAAACUGUAGAGGAGGCCAGACCACCAGACAAACCAGGGAUGCCUCAAAAUAUUCAAGUUAAUGGCACAGCUGAGCUCUCGCCCAACACACAGUCAGCAUAUGACCAACAGAUGAGAAAUGGUUACUCAAUGCGACAAGAUUUGUCCAAGGAGUCUGGUUACCUUAGUAACGGUGAUUUGUCUCAGAGUCAGAAUGGGUUUGAGUCUAGAAACAAUGCCAUUAAUGAGAGUAUGAGUAAUACAGUGUCCCCCACAGCAAAUAACUCCAGCAACAGCCGUUGGGCCAAAUAUUUACAGACAAAAAAAGAAGAUGUUGAAAAGUCACCUGAACCUCAGCCCGAAAAUGAACCGGGCAUGCUCAAACGACAUCCUUCACUCAAAGGCGACAGCUUGUCUCAGCGAAAGGAAAACUUGCAACAAGGUCACAUAGGUAACGCGAUACAGCGGGUGCCUAUGGAGGUUCUUGAUGCAGAGGAUAAAGACAAUGUUACGACAAAUAUCAGUCGUUUUACAACGAACGGUGAGGCGGAAAGUGGGCCUAAGGAGUUGUCUAGACCCACAGGUGAUCUCAGUGGACUUAUCAGUAAGGCUAAGGGUGAAUUAUCACGGCAAACGGCCGUCAAAGAACCACCUAAACCAACCCAAACACCUACCUCUCCUACAGAAGUGAAAUUAACUGAAAGUGACCUACAAUGGGACAAAAUGUGUAAACGCUUACGUAGACCUUUAAAAAUAAAAGAUUUAGACUUUACAGAUCUCAAUGAUGAUGAUGACUGUGAUGUGUUCGCCCCUUCAGCCCCAGUGUUUGGCAUGGGUAUGGCUGGUGGUCCUCCACCACCCCCUCCAAUGCCAGGCAUGGGAUUGCCCCCACCCCCUCCCCCUCCUCCUGGUGGCUUACCACCACCCCCACCUCCUCCACCAGGUGCACCACCCCCACCUCCUCCUCCCGGGAUGAUGGGAAGCCCAGCCCCUGGGUUAAAAGUAAACCUGCCUCCUGCGCCUGGUGCUACUCUGAAAAAGAAGAAAAAGACGGUGAAACUCCACUGGAGAUUGGUACAACCUGAGAUGCCACAUCCUGCUACCAAAGGGGAGACAAUCUGGAAAGACAUAGUUGAGGUCAAGGUUGAUCCAGACAAGUUAGAACAUCUGUUUGAGACCAGAGCAUCAGAUAUGAAGCAAAAGAAAACUGACACAAGUGGAAAGAAAGAGAUCUCCGUGCUUUCUCCCAAACGUUCAAAUGCAAUCAAUAUUGGUCUGACAGUCUUGCCACCUCCUCGAACAAUCAAGGCAGCCAUUUUGAAGAUGGAUAACUCUAUCAUGAACAGAGAAGGAAUUGAGAAGAUUCUGACUUCCAUGAUGCCGACAGAGGAGGAGAAGACUUUGAUCUUGGAUGCCCAGAUGGGAAACCCUGAUAUACCCCUAGGAACGGCUGAGCAGUUCCUCCUCACGUUGUCCUCCAUCAGUGAACUUCAAGCCAGACUCUCACUCUGGCUCUUCAAACUUGACUAUGAGACAGUAGAGUCUGAAGUAGCUGAUCCCUUGAGUGACCUGAAGAAGGGCAUCGAGGAGCUGCUGAAGAAUAAAACAUUUAAAUACAUCCUGUCUGUGAUAUUGACGAUUGGAAACUUUCUUAAUGGUGCUCAGGCUAGAGGUUUCAGUAUAGAGUACUUGACCAAGAUUCCCGAGGUAAAGGACACUGUCCACAAACACUCUCUCCUACACCACCUUUGUGUCAUCAUUAUUGAUCAGUUUCCAGACAGUACCGACCUCUACUCUGACAUUGGAGCCCUGGGACGCUGUUCACGGGUGGACUGGGAUGAACUGUCCAAUAAGCUUGAAAAGAUGGAACGCGAGUGCAAAGGAUCAUGGGAUCAUUUACGUGCAAUCAUAAAACAUGAUGGAAGUUCAAAUUCAAGCAUAAAAACAAAGUUGUCAGAGUUUUUGGCUGAUGCAGCAGAAAGAAUAAUGAUUUUAAAGAUUGUCCAUAAACGGGUCAUGCAGAGGUAUAACAAAUUACUGUUGUACAUGGGCUUACCCUUGUCAAGUGCAAAAGAUCUCAAGGUAAACGCCUUCUGUAAAACAAUAAGUGAAUUUGCCUUGGAGUAUCGAACAACACGAGAGAAGGUUAUUCAGCAGCUACAAAAGAAAGCCAACCAGCGGGAGAGAAAGAAGACGCGGGGCAAGAUGAUUGUCGAUACGGAAAAUUUCUCAAGCUCCAAGUCCAAGUCUAAAGAUGCUCAGAAUGACGAAGCAUUACAACGGCUCCUGUCAAACGGUUACACGAGUGCUGACGACCGGGGCAUGCCUGGUCACAAACGCAGACAGCGUGGUCCACUUGAUUCCAAAUCUCAGUCAUCACGAGGCUGUGUAACAACAGACUCUGAAAUGUAUGACACGGGAGAUGAUGAAAUUCUGGAGGCAUGUGUGCGAACGGCAGCAGCCCCCUCUAGUAGGCCCAAUAGGGAACGAAAGCGGUCCAGUAAACAUCGUAAAUCAUUGACGCCAAGAAUAGACACGAGGUAUUAGGUUUACACGAGGUUGCAGACAGGUAAACUUCUGCAUUUUGGGAUAGUGACACUGAUCAUUAUUGAUAGUGAGACGGACGCUGAAAAGUGGGCUUACAGCAGAAGAAUGGGAAACCGUGGCUGCGUAUUCUGAUGCCGUUUAGAAGAUUUUACAGUUACAACAUCAAACUGUUUAUAUUAGAACCAUGGACUCUAGUUCAUACCUGGAAGCAGUCUUCAAUGUUGUGUCACUAACCAGUGGUGGAAAUAUGGUUCUCGUAUCAGAAAUCUGUCCUCAUAUUUAUCAUAUCUUUGGAUACAGAAUGGAAUUGCUAUUCAAUGAACCGAGUGUCCCUUGUCAACUAUUAAAAAGCUGUCUGCCUGCAAGCCAUCAGGCACAGAAAAGUUGCUUAAGCUCGAGAUUAUCUGUCUGCACUGUCUCGUGUAUAUACAUACUGCAAAGUGUAUUUGUCAUGCAAACAAUUUAAAUGUGAUUAAUUCAGUAUUCAUUCAUCUAUGUGCUCUCAAGUCUUUCAACCAACCAACAUGUCAUUUUCCAUUAGGCUCCCUACAUUCACAUCAUAUUGAUUGGAGUCUCGAGAUUCACCAAUCAUCCUUUAUUGUUGUUUAGUGUUAUGAGAUUAAUUGUUCGUACCGGGGCAGGUUCUCCUGUAGUGAUGUGUAAUAUCAUAAAGUUGAUAAAUAUUUAUUUUGGUUUUGUUAGGUACACACAAGCUUGCCUUUUUCAGUGUGCAUUUUGAGUUAAAUCUGUCUCAUUGUUUUAUAAAUAGUAGUAGUAGUGUGGAACUGAAAAAAAAUUUUUAUCUUCUUUUUGCGUCAAAACAUGGAAUUGAUUUUAGCCUGAUUUAAUGGUUUAGUAGAAUAUCAAAACUCAGAUACUUAGAAGCAAAAUUGAUUGUUAUUGAAAACAUUAUCAUACAAAUAUACCAUUUGCAGAAAUUAUUUACUUCAGGGAAAUGUUCAAUACAUUAAAAGGUGUGUAUAAGUAUAUACUAAUAUAUAUUAAUAUAUUAUGUACAUAUUCGUAUAUCUGUUAUAAAUCCAUUAACGUUUUAUGAAAUAUUAUCCAUAUGUGCACUGCAUUGUAAUGAUGCCUUCUAGUCAACCAUUUUUAAACUUUCAUAUGCAGAGUCAAGUCCUGUUUAUGUAAUAGACUGAGUAUCUGUUGAUAUCUAAAGCUGUGUGUUAGGUCUUUGUUUGUGUCUUAUUGUAGGGUAAGGGUGAGCAGUGCUCUUAAAACUUAUGAUAUUCUGAGAAAAUGAAAGUAAACACCAAAACCUGUGAGAGAUACAACAAUAUGCAAGCAGUGUAAAAGAAUAUAUUUAUACGGAAAAUAAAUAUUCAUGCAAGUUUUAAGAGAAAAAAAAGUCAUUUAUAGAUAUUUCAGUAAUGAAUUAUAAUAACAUGGGUAUGGCAAUCAACAUUAUAUAGAAACUGAAUCAUUCAUCAAAAUAAAUGUAUGUAUUUUGAUUAAAAACAAAGUGCUCACUAGAAUUAUUUUCACAAUAGACAUUCUUUAUACCAAAGAAAAUGUAACUCAAUGUUUGUCAGACUGCUAGUGUAUAUGAUAGCAAAUAGAUAGAAACAUCUUUACAUGUUAUUGUACAGCUCUCUAAAACAAUUCAUUAAAUGGAAUCAGAAAUCUUUGACCUUAUGUAAGUGGAAUAAUGAGACAGUAUUUAUUUAAUAAAAUAUUGACGAAUUUGCACUGAAUGUGUUGCUAUGGAAACAAUAUAUAUAUAUGAAAGUGAAAAAUUUCCCUACAACUAUUUUAUUGGCAUUCUUGGUGAAGAUAUGACUUGUUAUAUUUACUGUAUCAGCCUACAUUUAAUAUUGCUGUAUCUUUGUAGCCGAAAUUCCCUUGUAAUCAUUCUGUAACUAUUUUGUAGGCAUGUGUGAUUUUACAUGUGUAUUUAAUCUUUGUCACAAGUGAAAAAAAAUCAUUUCAUAUCUACUUAACUUAUUCAGCAUUAGGAUAUUUCUCAAUUUUAAACCUGCACUACCAUUGAUUGUUGCUAUGGUGAUCAAUUUUCUGAUAGGUGGUUUCUGCUACGAAUUCCUGGGAAUAAUUGUUGAUGUCAUCAUUCUUACUCAUUUUAGAUUCUAUUUAUAAGUUGAGGGAAAAAGAACUUUUUAGUCUCUUUUUUAAGUGAUUUUAUUUCUCCUUGAAGAGUUGAUAUAACAGUAAGUGCUUUAGAUGAUACUGAUGUGUAACAUAUGUAUGUGUACCACUAGGUGAUGCACAUCUCGCAGAACAAUGAACCAUAUACCUUUUAUCUGUGAUUCUGAUUUUACAAAACCCUGUCUGUACAGUCCCAUGCUUGUACAUAACUGUCGUCACAGUUGUUGUCAUGCUGUCGUGAUAAUAUAGGAAUCUCAGCCCCUUGUAGAUGUCGUAAGACCUUGGACAACAGUCCAAAAUCAUUUUGCUAGUAAGCUUAAAUAUGUUUGUAAAUUAAGUACUGUAUAUUUCCUGCCCAAUUUAUUUAUUACAAGUUUUAAUCUGUGUAUUGAUCAAGAUUUUUAACACCGUUUUGAAAUAUUUUAAUAUAUUUUUAGAGUGGAGCUGUGUUCAUUUGUUCUUUUUCUGAGAAUUGAUAUUUUCUGUAAGAUAAAUUGGUUCAAUUAAGGCCAUAAAAUUGAUUCCCAGGCCAAAUAACUGAUCUUAAUGGUUCUUGCAUCUGUAUUUGAAUGUCUACAGCAGGUAAUCUCCCCUAUCAGUAUUACAACACUACCACCAGGGGUAUGUGUUGACUAUCCAUCCUGUCUGUAAACACACACCAGUAUUUGCCCAUAGUUACUGCUGUGUCAUAUUGAUUUAUAUAGACUGCUAAGCAGACCCUAUCUAUUGUUUCCAGUAAUCAGCACGGUUCAUGUGAGGGUGGCAGCAAUUUGUCUUCUAUCUGGACUUGAACCUUUUUACUGUUCCUAAAUUUGCUUCUGUGUUGUGGUCCUCACAAACUAGUCACUUUUGUUUGUUAUCCAUUGUAUAUGUUACCAUGCGGACACAGCGGCCAUGGCUGUCAUGGUCACAUGAUUGUGUAAAUUUUGCCAUUCAUUAAACCGGAUUGUCUCUCACAAAGUGUGAACAAAUGUCUAUUCCACUAAAAUUAUGUUUUAUAUAACAAUUGCAAAUUCCUGCCAUAUUUUGUGUACUGAUUUUUCUUUGAACAGAAACUUAGAGACAUUAAAGGAUUUGUAUAAAAGUAUGAAA